GAGCCACCCCACCCAGCUCAAUACUGACAUUAUUCUUAUAAUGGUUAUAUUGCUUCAAUGUUAUUGGUUACAAAACUAAAAUGAUUCAAGUGUGAAAUUUCCAAUUAUUCAAAUUUAAAUAAUGAAUACAGUAAGUUAUGUUAGAAGGUUAUAGCAGGAGGCAUUUAUUAACAAAACAAAUUUGUGUUUUCACCACAUGUGGGUGCUCUGCUUUCAUGAACAGAGACAUAAGAAGGUUAAAUCAGGUCUGUAUGAUAAAUAUAUCAAAUGAAUUAAAGCAUUUCUGUUUAGAGUUCUCCCCUAGGUAUUGGAACAAUUUACUGUGGGCUAUAAUAACCGCAGGAUGUGUAGACAGAAGACAUAGUGACUGUGUAUGUUAAACUCUAAUGAGGUUAUGACCCCCUUUCUAGUCUAUUCCAGAUCUAUUGAGGCUCCUGCUUAUCUUGGUUAGUAUUUGACCCAGUGGACCUCAGAUGAAUGGAGAGUCAACAUUUGUCAUGUUUUGGGGCUCUACCUGAAUCGCCAACCUAGUUCCUGUGGCCCCACCCAGAAGAAUUCAGCCCGCAGGAGGACAGUUUGACUCCCUGUGAUUUCAUCUCUGCCCCAACCAAUCAGCAGCAAGCACCCAUUACCUGGCAGCCCCACCCCUUUCCCCCAAACUGCCUUUGAAAAACCCCUACCUAGGAGCCUUAGAUGAGAUUGAUUUGAGUACUAACUCCAUCUUCCAUGUGGCAUGGCUGGCCUUAUGUCUAUUAAACUCUUUCUUUACUGCA